AUGUAUAUAUACAUAUAUAUAGAGAGAGAGACAGAGAGAGAGACACACACACACAGAGAGACAGAGAGAUUUAAAAAGUGCAAUAUUAAAACAAAAGUGGAGUCUUUUAAGGCCAUUGUGUAAAGACACACUCUGAGUUAUAACUUAGUGGCACUCCC